rnacentral:rRNA from 1 species
GUGGGGAAUCUUAGACAAUGGGCGCAAGCCUGAUCUAGCCAUGCCGCGUGAGCGAUGAAGGCCUUAGGGUUGUAAAGCUCUUUCAGUGGGGAAGAUAAUGACUGUACCCACAGAAGAAGCCCCGGCUAACUCCGUGCCAGCAGCCGCGGUAAUACGGAGGGGGCUAGCGUUGUUCGGAAUUACUGGGCGUAAAGCGCACGUAGGCGGACUGGAAAGUCAGGGGUGAAAUCCCGGGGCUCAACCCCGGAACUGCCUUUGAAACUCCCAGUCUUGAGGUCGAGAGAGGUGAGUGGAAUUCCGAGUGUAGAGGUGAAAUUCGUAGAUAUUCGGAGGAACACCAGUGGCGAAGGCGGCUCACUGGCUCGAUACUGACGCUGAGGUGCGAAAGCGUGGGGAGCAAACAGGAUUAGAUACCCUAGUAGUCC